rnacentral:rRNA from 1 species
UACAGAGGAGCCAAGCGUUGUCCGGAUUGACUGGGCGUAAAGCGCACGCAGGCGGUCGCGCGCGUGGGGUGUGAAAUCUGGCCGCUUAACGGCCAGGCGCCAUCCCAUACGGCGCGACUGGAGUGAUGCAGAGGUCGAUGGAAUUGCCGGUGUAGUGGUGAAAUGCGUAGAGAUCGGCAGGAACACCCAGGGGGGAAACCAGUCGACUGGGCAUCUACUGACGCUGAGGUGCGAGAGCGUGGGGAGCGAACCGG